AGAGAAAUGUGUAAAGUUACUGCUAAUAAUUUUUGGUCAAUUUAGUUUGACUUUCUCUU
rnacentral:tRNA from 1 species